rnacentral:lncRNA from 1 species
ACAACAUUUAAUGUUUUCACAACUAAGAAGUACUUCAGGCAUCAGAAUGUUCACAUGAAGAUAUAAACAGAAAAAGAAGCCACUUCAUAUGUAAGAGAGAGGAGAGAACCACUCUUCCUCAUCCAGCUUGCCAAAGCUUGGGUGCCCACUCCUGGUGCUGAGACAAGAGUGAGAGGAGUGGCUGAGAAGAUAAGGAUACUGGAUCCACUCCAGAAAAUAAUGGCCAGAUUCAAAUCAAGAUCUUUGUGGCUCUGAAACUACCUUCCUCUCCGUGCCUCUAGUGUGCUUCCAUGUCAUUUGCCCGGGAAUGAGCCUAUCAUUACCCUGACAGGAGUCUAUGGAACAGAAGUCAAUACUCUAGGAAGCAAAGAAACUGCAAAAUAAGGGUUCCCUGUGCUGAGCAUUGACGCUCCAAGCCUCCUCAGGAGCACGGAAACCCAGCCAGCAUGACUCAAGGCCUGCCACGCAUCCCCAGCGUAGGACUCAUGGGCACACAGUAGGCAUUUAUUUAUUCAGUAAAUAAGCAAGCUUCAGCCCAAGAGACAGGGGUCUCAGUAUGUUUCAGUUACUCUCCAUAGUAUCACACAUUGCUUCUUUUAUUAAGACUUCAAUAGACCCUUUAAAUAUGAUUUAAGAGGAAACUGAAAGCAAUCAUUUAAGCGUCUUCAAAAACUUAAAACCUAGAACUUAAAAACAACAAAAAUGGCCAAAUUAAAAUUGAUAGCAGCAUGAAUUUUUAUGU